rnacentral:lncRNA from 1 species
AGGGUAGUUUCAGCAUGUGCUCGCUUGACAGAAUCCUGGGAAUUAUAAAGCCUCUCACACAAUGCUUCCAGUUGAGCUAAAGUCUCCAUUCUUCACUGCUUAGGAAGAAUAUCCAAGAAUUCAGAUGAAGUCAGUUCUUCUCCAUUUUCCACGAAUAAAUAAUAUAAAUCUACAAGGUUGCAUGUGAAUUCAAGAAUAUAUUUAGAGGUGGAAACACAAAAAGUAAUAUAAAGUUCAUUAAAACAAAAGCAAAAGUAAUAUAAUGAAAACCUCAGUUCAAUGCAAAUCAUCAGACACCAUUGAAGUUGAUCAAAUUGAAUAUAUAGCACUGAAAUAUUAAAUGUUUACAGGUGUACAAGAUAGUAUUCUCAAACUGUUUGAAUUACAAGAGUACUCUAAAAUACAAAGAUAGCUCAGCAUAAAAGGAUUAUGGCAGAAAUCAUCAGCAAAUCCAGCCACAAUAGCACUGGUCCAAGAAAAAUGAGCAGUAUAAUCCUGACAUAAGAAAGAAAAUGUUAAACUUAUUUCAAAACUUGAUUCAUGAUACAGAACCUUCAACUAAAUAAAACAACUAUUUUUUAUCACACCCAAAAAACACACAUAAAACAAUUGUCAUUCUAAUUACUUGUCUUUCUUGAUCAAGAAACUGUUCUAAUUUCUUGGGGGAUCUUCCCAAUCCUUAAGGGCAAUAUCAUUAAAACAAGAAAAACAUAAGCAAGUACCUAUGAAUGUAUGUACAUUACACAACAUUCAUCUGUUGGUAUCAGUGACCUCGCAAUAACAGAAAAUAUAUCAGUUUACGUUACAAAAUUAAUCAGUAUCAAGCGCACAGCGGAAUUUAAAUUUUGAGGCAUGCAAAGUUAGCAAUAUAGAAAAUUAAAGAGAGAGAGUUAGAGAAGAAGACACAGAGAUUUAUCCUGGUUCGGUUGUCCACAACAACCUACGUCCAGUCCUGAAAAUCCAAUCGGAUUUCAGAUUUUCUUCUCCUUCAAUAGAAAGAAUCAAUUACAAAGAUUUUCCAGUUUCCUCCCUGAAACCUAUCAAUCUCUAAUUAUAUCUUUCCUAUUGAAUACCCUCUGAUCCUUGAAGACACUCAGCAGCCUAUCACAGAAUCAAAGUACGACUCUUUCUUGUUGAGCCCUCUCAACCAAGAAAGUAGCCACCAGUUUCGAGCUGGCUUUUCUUGCGUUCUAUUUCGUUCAAAGAUUUAUUACAGAAAGAAUAAAAGAUUGUAAAACAAAAGGGUCUUCAAUCUUUAUGAAUGUUGCUCUUCACAAAUCUGGAUAUUCAUGGAUUGUUCUUGAGCACAUUAUCAUUUCUCUUAGAUUGUCAACAAACUGUAUUGAGAUCUGUAAUCACAAUUAUGAAGUUGUUAGUUUGUUGCCAUGAACCGUUUUUGAGAGCAUAAGAGAAAUUAUGAAAGUUAUGAAUUGUUAUAUGAAUAAAGAUUGAAAGACAGUUUAUAUAGUUUCUGAAAAACCAACUACGAAAUCGAUUUCCCAAUCGAUUUUGUAAAGUUAUAAAAGGUGCUAAAUCGAUUUGCCAAUCGAUUAUCGCGAUCUUGGUUUUCUUUAAUCUUGAAACUAUACAAGCUAAUCGAUUUACCAAUCGAUUCUUUAAAACAACACUUUUCAGCAGAACAUGUCCAGACCUGUAUAAAUCGAUUGCCUAAUCGAUUUCUGGGAAUCUGUUUUGAUAAAACUAUUUUCAAUCGAUUACUCAAUCGAUUUGCCAAACUUCAGAGUUCACUGUGUUUUCAACAAGUUUAUUUCAAUCGAUUUGCCAAUCGAUUGUUUUCAAAACAGUGGCUCAGGUUUUUGAUGUCAAUCGAUUUGUCAAUCGAUGUGAUUCAAAAUAGUGAUUCAGUUUUAAUAUCAAUCAAUUUGCCAAUCGAUUGUUUUCAAAACAGUGGCUCAGCUAUUUGAUAUCAAUCGACUUGUCAAUCGAUUUGGUGGCAUGUUCCUGAAAAGUUUUUACCUGGUGUUUAGUUCAAUCGAUUUGCCAAUCGAUUGCAACCAAACUUUAUCAAAAUUAAAGUGUUAACAAUAGAUUGUCCAAUCGAUUGUAUUUGUCACAGGUGAGGUUAUUUUUCAAAUGAUACUUUGUCAAUCGAUUUGCCAAUCGAUUCCCUCAGCACUGGAGUGCCACUGUGACUCAUUCAAUCGAUUUACCAAUCGAUGUGUUACCAUCAGGUUUGAUUUGUGAAAUGUUCAAUCGAUUUACCAAUCGAUUACUCUCCAAAUCAGAGGCUACUGACUUGUGCAGUUUUCAUUUUUAAUUAAGCUAAUCGAUUGCCUAAUCGAUUGCACAUUCACAAACACUUAAGAUUUCCUUACACCCUUGUUAUGAAAUCGAUUUCCCAAUCGAUUUACAUAUUCAGAAUUCAACUUUUGUUGAUUUCUUGUGUUCCAAGCAAUUUGAUACAAGUGUGUGUGAUUGAAUUGGUGUUCCUGAAAUUUUGCUCAAUUGAAAUAUUAGAUUUAUCAUAUUAAGUAUGAAUAUUGUUGAAUUGUGAAUUAUGUCAAAAUUAGGAAUCAAAGGAUCAAAAUCCAACAAUCUCCCCCUUUUUGGCAUAAUUGACAAUUCAUACAAUUGUAACUUGAGCAUAUCAAACCAUUUCAAAAUCAUACCAAAGAAACCAAUUCAUAGCAUUAAAUAUGUACCAAUACAGAUCAUCAGAGCAUGUGUCAAAACAGCAUGAGUAUUAUUACAUUAUUAAGUAUCAGAGCAAAAACAAACAACAUCAGAUGCUCCCCCUUAAUAAUGCAACAACAAGCAUAUUAUCAAGUUAUCAAGUUAUAAUUUUUCUCCCCCUUUGUCAAUUAAGGCAAAAAGGCAGAAAACAAUUCCUCCCCCUAUGUUAAAGAACAUAAGCAUAGGAAAUGAAAUCAUAUAACUUGUAUAUCAGAUCAGAACAAAACAAAUAUGCAACAGAUGUAGUAUGGCAGUAUUUAUAUGAUAACAAUUAAUACAUUUGCAAGAAAAAAUCUUCAAAACAAUGAGUAACUCGUACACAAUGAAAGAAACAGUGAUAUCAUCAACUUCCUUAUUCUAAUUAAUUUUGUACAAGAUAGUAGAAGGCGUGUUCUUUGGCCAUAUUUCAAUAAAGCGAGCCAAGACAGAGGAAUCAUAAUCAGUCGUUGGACUUCUCCUAACAUCUUAAGCUUUUAAAAAUGUUUAUUUAUUUACAUAAUAUAUGAUUGCUUUACAUUAAUUAUGGUCAUUAUCGAGGAAAUCUAACUAUAAGAACAGCAUAUUCAGCUCACCGUACACACCUUUAAGAUGGAAUAAAUCCACCAUGAAUGAGCAAUUACCAAACCAAGUAAUGUGACCCAAGCACUAAAUGUACCAAGGCAUGCAAUAUGUAACCAUAGUGAGUGACUAGGUGUGAGCACAUUGAAUGAACUAUAUGUCAAUUAAUGGGGAAAUAUUUUUAGAGGAGGUUAGCAAUCAAUACUGACUUGUAAAUUCAAUUUGGAUUUGAUAAACUCCGUAAAUUGUGCAUUUAGUGCUUUGAUGUUCUUGACAGCAAUCAUCUAGGGUUUUGAAAAAUGAACAUCUAAAUUCCUAUUUUAGCUAUGAACAUCAUGCAUUAAGUAGACAAUUAAAGGGUACAUCGAUGCAAAUUAAUCAAAUACUUCACUGCUUUCUUCUUUUCUAAUGCUAACACCUUUCUACAGUAAGGCAUCAACAUUAUGGUGUUGUUAGGAUAAAGAAUAAAGAAUAACUAGAGUAGUAAAGAUAUGUUAGACCAGUUAGUUAGUUGGAUAGUUAGAGGAAUAACAUGUAUAAACAGUAGAGAGAGAGAGAGAGCCUCCAAGGUUUUUCCCUUGUACAACAGAGCCACUGCCACUUCACUAUUUACAAAGUAUUUACAAAUAUGAAUAUAUCCCCCCUUUAUCCAUGUAUCCUUCACUUUUUACACAUUAUUCCUCUAACUAUCCAACUAAUGAACUAACUUCCCCUUUAUUCUAUAUCCUAACAGGAGCCUCGCACUUGGCAUUAUAAUUUAUAACAACCUUUUCCAUUGAUCACCUUGGACACAUUAAUUCUGGAGUACCAAUAGGUCAUUGGCAAUAACAUACCAAAUAUUAUCUAAUUUUAACAAGUUAUCAGUUUUGAUCCUCUACAACUACUAACUAUUAAUGCAUGGUAGCAAAUAGAUUCAUUGCCAGCUAUAGAUUCACUAAUUGAAACAUAGCAAGCAAUCGCAUGCAAGAUAUUUUUCAUUUCUUGCUUCUCAAUGCUCCAUAUGCCAAGCCUCCCAGUUUCUAGACUAGGGGAUAAGUCCGCCGCAAAAACUUUAUCAACAUUUGCAACGUGCAAACAAAACUCUUUCGAUGGUAUGCAUAAAACCUGCCCUUUUCUUAAGAUCGUGCAUAAUUGAUAUUCCACAUGCAGUAAUAAAAUAAUAACAAGACCAUUUUCAAUUGAACUUUAAACUAGAGUUCCACAAUUAAAAUACGUUUACAGUUUUUCACUGCAGAAAACCCUUAUUACUUAUAAGCUUAUAGGUAUUCAUAGAUAUGUUAAAUAAGAGAGCUUCUGAUGCAUAAAUUAAUUCCAAAAUCAAUCUACGCUAGAAGCUACUAUUAUUUAAAAAUCUCAUGGUUAUUGCACAUAAGUACAUGUUAAGCUCCAAGAUCAGCCUGUAAGGUGACAACAAAUAUUCUAUGGAGCCUGUAAGGUGACAACAAAUAUUCUAUGGAGCCUGUACGGAUGAGCAAUCACCAUAUUCUAAUCUAAAAGGGAUAAAAACACCAUCACAAGUAUAAAUCACUAUUGUGUCUGAAGCAAGAUAUUUAUUACUCUAGGGUUACAACGCCUACAACAACUUUUUGGAAUUCCUAAAAUUUUUGUUGAAUAAGAGAAAAUGAGAGAGACAUAUGGUGAAACCGUGUGUCUGAACUACACAACGGAGUCUGUUUUAUAUAGGCUCAAGGCAAUAAAUACAAAAAUAAAUAUGGGAGAUAUUAUCCCUAUUUACAUGAUAUGUAAUAAAUAUAAAUAUAUUUUCAACACUCCCCCUCAAGCUGGAGCAUAUAAAUCAUAUGCACCAAGCUUGUUACAUAUAUAACUGAUUCGAGGACCUCUCAGAGACUUAGUGAAUACAUCUGCCAAUUGAUCAUUGGAAUUAACAAAACUAGUGGUGAUGUCGCCUGAUUCGAUCUUCUCCCUUACAAAGUGACAAUCUAUCUCAAUAUGCUUGGUCCUCUCAUGAAAAACUGGAUUAGAGGCAAUGUGCAAUGCUGCUUGAUUAUCACAUAUUAAUGUCAUUUGUGUUGCCUCUUCAAAUUGAAGCUCUUUGAGUAAUUGUUUCAACCAAAUGAGCUCACAGGUCACUAAUGCCAUAGCCCUUUAUUCAGCUUCAGCGCUAGAUAUUGCAACUACACUUUGUUUCUUACUCUUCCAAGAUAUUAAGUUUCCUCCAACAAGUACACAAUACCCAGAAGUGGAUCGCCUAUCAAUGGGUGAGCCUGCCCAAUCGGCAUCUGAAUAACCAACUAUCUGAGUAUGUCCUCUGUUUUCAUAAAUUAGACCUUUUCCUGGAGCACCUUUAAUGUAUUUCAAGAUUCGUAUCACAGCAUCCCAGUGUUCUUGACAAGGAGAAUUUAAGAAUUGACUUACCACACUGACUGCAAAAGAAAUGUCUGGACGGGUGACUGUGAGGUAGUUUAAUUUACCAACCAAUCUUCUGUAUCUCCCUGAAUCUAAAAAUGGCUCCCCAUGAUUAGGUAGAAGUUUGACGUUUGGAUCCAUAGGAGUGUCAACCGGUUUGGCAUUUGUUGAAGUUUGGGAAGACUCGAAUGACCUAACUGAGCAUGUAUAGUAAGAGGAGAAUAUGUGGUAGGAACGCUGUUGAUGGGUUUGAGAGAUAAUAAAGACCAUUAGACUCACAUCCGACACCAAUUUGUCGUCCUGAUAUUCGGUCUUGCAAAGUAACAUUGCAAUUAGUAAAUGUGACAACACAUUCAUGAGAACGAGUCAAUCAACUGAUAGAAAUUAAAUUAAAUGGACAUCCAGGCACAUAAAGGACAGAUUUAACUAACAGAGUAGGGAGGAUUUGGACAGUGCUUAUCCCUUGAGACUGUGUUUGGGAACCAUUGGCUGAGACUAUCCUAGGUAAAUAACCAGAUGUUGUGAGAGAGGAGAAAAGAGUCUUAUUACCAGUAAUGUGAUCAGAUGCACCAGAAUCGAGAAUCCAUGGGCUAUGAGAAGGUGAGAUGCAAACAGGUGAAUUACCACUUUGUGCGGCGGAAACAGCGGAACUCAAGUUCUGACAACUCUCUCCACCGAAGAAAAUCUUCAUAAGUAGCCAUAAUCAAUAAGUAGUUACCUAAAACCAGCAGCGAAAAAGUGGCGGAAGAGGGGUUUUUUUUUUUUCUUCGAUGAAGAGUACCGCGCGAUGAACAGUGCGUGCGAUGAACAGUGUCGCGCGAUGAACAGUGGACUGAUUUGCUGGAAAAAAAUGAACGACAAGCGACAAAGAAAAGGUAAACCGAAAUUGAGACACGGUUUACCGAAAAAAAAUCUCACCGAAGGACAGUGGGUCCCGGGGUAAUCACGGUAUAGCGUUGUCCCUCUUAAUAGGCUCUAGAUACCAUGUUGAAUAAGAGAAAAUGAGAGAGACAUAUGGUGAAACCGUGUGUCUGAACUACACAACGGAGUGUGUUUUAUAUAGGCUCAAGGCAAUAAAUAUAAAAAUAAAUAUGGGAGAUAUUAUCCCUAUUUACAUGAUAUAUAAUAAAUAUAAAUAUAUUUUCAACCGAAAUAAUUCAUCAGCACAAAUUUGAACAGCACCAAGCAUGCACAGUGAAGAAAAUUUCCGAAAACAUUCAUUACAAGAAAUUGAUCAUCCAAACGAAAAACAAGUCAAGAUUAAUGAAGGUGAAGUGUUAAUCUGUUUGAGCAGUCAAUCAUCAAUUAAAACGAUUAAAUUAACACAUAGCAAUAUUGACAAAAAAAAAAUCGAGAAAAAUAAAUACUGAUAGUUCAAUUCAAAUACAAUACAAAACAAUUAUGAAGCGUUAUUGGAGAUAGAGAAAAUGGAGUUAGUGAGAUUGUGAAAAUAUUCUUACAGAGAGCAACAAUGGGGCAAGUUUCAGAAGAAUCUGAGGUUUAAGAGAAAGAGUUGAAGAGUGGCGGUGGCGAGUGUUGUGGUAGAAGAAGGGAAUAUGAGAGAGUUUCAGAGUUUUGAGAAUGAGAGAAGAAAAAUGAAGGAAGCCUAAUGGUGUUUUUUUUCUUCAUUUUUUUGGUAUUUUC